UCUCUGGUGGUCCAGUGGUUAGGACUAGGCACUUUUACUGCUGAGGGCCCAGGUUUGAUCCCUGGUCAGGGAA